rnacentral:rRNA from 1 species
CUACCUACGGGACGCAGCAGUGGGGGAUAUUGCACAAUGGGGGGAACCCUGAUGCAGCGACGCCGCGUGGGCGAUGGAGUGCUUCGGCAUGUAAAGCCCUAUCAGCAGGGAAGAAAAUGACGGUACCUGACUAAGAAGCCCCGGCUAACUACGUGCCAGCAGCCGCGGUAAUACGUAGGGGGCAAGCGUUAUCCGGAAUUACUGGGUGUAAAGGGAGCGUAGACGGCUGUGCAAGUCUGGAGUGAAAGGCGGGGGCCCAACCCCCGGACUGCUCUGGAAACUGUAUGGCUGGAGUGCAGGAGAGG